CCCUUAGAUGUUCUGGGCCGCACGCGUGCUACACUGAGUGGAUCAGCGGGUCAGGUUGCGCGAAAGCGUUUCCUAAUCUUUAAAUCCGCUCGUGAUGGGGAUUGACGGUUGCAAUUUUCUGUCAUGAACGAGGAAUUCCCAGUAAGUGCGAGUCAUCAGCUCGCGUUGAUUACGUCCCUGCCCUUUGUACACACCGCCCGUCGCUACUACCGAUUGGGAAAAUUUUAGAGAGUCCUGGACUGAUGAUUGUUCGGCUUCACGGCCUUACUUUCGUCGGGAAAGAAUUCGAUAAUAUUUUUCUAGAGGAAGUAAAAGUCGUAACA
rnacentral:rRNA from 1 species